rnacentral:rRNA from 1 species
AUUGAGCGCUGGCGGCAGGCCUAACACAUGCAAGUCGAGCGGAUGAAGGGAGCUUGCUCCUGGAUUCAGCGGCGGACGGGUGAGUAAUGCCUAGGAAUCUGCCUGGUAGUGGGGGAUAACGUCCGGAAACGGGCGCUAAUCCCGCAUACGUCCUGAGGGAGAAAGUGGGGGAUCUUCGGACCUCACGCUAUCAGAUGAGCCUAGGUCGGAUUAGCUAGUUGGUGGGGUAAAGGCCUACCAAGGCGACGAUCCGUAACUGGUCUGAGAGGAUGAUCAGUCACACUGGAACUGAGACACGGUCCAGACUCCUACGGGAGGCAGCAGUGGGGAAUAUUGGACAAAGGGCGAAAGCCUGAUCCAGCCAUGCCGCGUGUGUGAAGAAGGUCUUCGGAUUGUAAAGCACUUUAAGUUGGGAGGAAGGGCAGUAAGUUAAUACCUUGCUGUUUUGACGUUACCAACAGAAUAAGCACCGGCUAACUUCGUG